AGAGAUUUAAGUUAACGCAAGACUAAGAGCCUUCAAAGCCCUAAGAAAGGGUUAAAAUCCCUUAAUCUCUG
rnacentral:tRNA from 1 species